rnacentral:tRNA from 1 species
GACUCAGUGGUCUAAUGGUUAAGCGCUCGUCGUGGAACCAGAGGGUCCUGGUUUCGAUCCCAAACGGGGUCG